rnacentral:ncRNA from 1 species
GAUAAAUUUUUUAUGUUUUUAAUAAUUUAUUAUAAGUUUAUUUUACAUAUAAAUUAUAGUAUUAAAUUUUAAUUAUUUUAAUAAUAAUUAAUAUUUGGUUAUAGUAAUUAAAAUUAAAAAUUUAAGAAAUUAAGAUUUAGUAAUACAAAAAUUAAUAACUAAUUUUGUGCCAGCAGUUGCGGUUAAACAAAAGUUAAAUUAAAUUAUUUCAGUAUAUAAUAAAUAAAUUAAAAUAAAUUAAAUAUUAAAUUAUUAGGUGAAAUUUUAAUUUAAUUAAAAUUUUAAAAUAUUUAUGAUUUAAUAAAUUUUUUUUAUAAACUAGGAUUAGAUACCCUAUUAUUAAAAAUUUAAUUUAUAAUACUAAAAUAGUAAAUAAAGUAUAUUGAAACUUAAAUAAUAUGGCGGUAUUUUAGUUCAUUUAGAGGAAUCUGUCUAGUAAUUGAUAAUCCACGAAUAAAUUUACUUAAUUUAAAAUUUUGUAUAUCAUUGUUAAAAAAAUAUUUUUAAAUAAAAAUAAUAUUUAAAAAUUAAAAAUAAAAAUUAAUUCAGAUCAAGAUGCAGAUUAUAAUUAAGUUAAAGAUGGAUUACAAUAAAAUUAUUUAAAUGAAUAAUAUUUUGUAAUUAUAUUUGAAGGUGGAUUUAAAUGUAAUUUUAAUUAGUUUAUUAAAAUGAUUAAUAAUUAAAAUAUGUACAUAUUGCCCGUCACUUUCAUUUAAAAAUUGAAAUAAGUCGUAACAAAGUAGAAGUACUGGAAAGUGUUUCUAGAAUGAU